GUUUGUAUCUAUAUAUUCUGCUAAAAUUAAACUGUUUAAAAUUUUUUUUUAAAGAAUGAAACGAGCUAGUUCAAUGACCACGCUUAAUUCAGAUGGAAAGACUAGUAAUCUGGUGAGCAUGCGUCCACAAACAGCAAGUUCAGACCAGCUGAGAAGUUCUCACUAACAAACAUAGUAGCAUUAGAAGAAAGCGGUAUGUUUCAAAUUGCGUUACAGAUCGUAAUCGUGGCAUUGGAAGUUGAUGUUGCCUUUGGAUGUACCGAAGAAUUAAAUACAAAAACACAAAUCGAAAAAUGUGAUUUAUUCUGAUAUGAUCUCUAUGUAAUAGAAGACAUUUAAUUAUUAUUUUUCCCUAUAUUGUUUUAUUAUCAAACAAUCGAAAACUAAGAACCAAAAAAGAUUAUUCUAAUUCGAUUCUAUUUACAGAAAUUGCAUAAAAUAGUAAAAAUUCGAUCUCUCUACUGUCAAAUAUAGUAAAAAACAAAAAUCUAUCUUUUGUAAGUUAAAAUAUAUGUAAUACAUUGUCUUGUUUGCGGAAAGUCCAGAGUUUAUGAAGGAAUUGUGAAAGUCAAGUUCGUUUCGAGCUUUAAUGUCCGUACUUAAAUUUUUCUUAUUGCUAUCAAAGAUUAUAAAGAUUAAUGGAUAGAUACAGAUUAACGAGACAUUCCAGUUGUGUUUAGUUUUUUUUUGUAUUUUCGUUUAAUUUUUUUUUUAUAAAGAAUUAAGUUUCUUCAUCAGUUCCUAGUAUGUUUCUCUUGAUCAGAAUAAUAUAAUUGUUACUUUAUAUGAUUUGGCCUAGAAAUAAUUUUUCAAGUUUUCUUUGAAGUUAUGUAAUAAAGUUCAGAUUUUAUUUUUGACAUUUUUUAAAUUAAAUUAAUUUAGUUUAAGUUGAAGUAAUUGAAACAAAGAGGCAAGCUAACUUACUUCUAGGCUAAAUGCUUAGUUAUUUUGUGCAAUUAUAUUUGCUGCAACGUGGGGAAGUUCAAUGUCAGUCGAGUGAAAAUCCACUCUCAACUACUGUGGUUCGGUUAAUUCUUGAUCUUAAUAAUCUUUUCGAUUGUUUGGUCAUGAAGACUGAUGUUUAGUUGCAUAACCUGGUCAAUUUUUGACCAUGAUAAUCAGUUCCUGGCCGUGGUAAUGCAGUCAGCUCUUGGUUGUGGUAAUCAAUUUUUGGUCAAAGUGAUUGAUUUGUAGCUACAAUUGUCUCAGUUGAUUUUUGGCCAUGGAAAUUGAUUCUCGGCUGCAAUUAACCUAGUUGUUUUUUGGCCACUUAUCCAAAACUCCAAAUAAUUUUGAACGGUGGCUCUCUCUACCCCUGCGGCAACUGUAAUUGAUAGUCGAUACCAAAUAUAAUUUUAAAAAUCUGGGUGCUGUUUUCAAUAAAUGUAAAAAUAAUUAUAUACAGUUUUUGAUGUUUUUUUUUUUUUUGUACAUGUUCGAUUCCAAAUGCUGUUGCUGUCAAUAUGCAAGAAACAACAAAAAUUAAAGACUUUUUUUUAGCAUCUCCUAUGUGAUUUUUCCUGUGAAUAUUUGUUUAUGUGAUAAUUUACUUGUAAGACAGUAAAAAUGCGCAAGCUUAAAAGAAAAAAAUUGGAAAUUACGCACUUGUAAAUUGAUUUCUCCCGUAGCCGUCAAUUGUGAAAAAGUCGAGAGUUAGAGAAAUCCUAAAUGUUGUGAUAUUGAAAGAAAAUGGUGUUAUUUAUUUGUAAUUAUGUUCUUUAUAGAAAUCAAAAUAUAUAUAUUAGUAUACAAAUAUAUAUACAUAUACAGUAUACCAAAUGUAAACCUCGGUUUUAUUUAAAUUGAUUUGUGAUUGAGAAUAAUUUGGUCUACUUUAAAUAAAAUUUUGAUCAAUUGUAA